rnacentral:rRNA from 1 species
UACGUAGGGUGCGAGCGUUAAUCGGAAUUACUGGGCGUAAAGCGUGCGUAGGCGGUUCGUUAAGUCAGUUGUGAAAUCCCCGGGCUCAACCUAGGAACUGCAUCUGUGACUGUAUAGCUAGAGUACGGUAGAGGGGGAUGGAAUUCCGCGUGUAGCAGUGAAAUGCGUAGAUAUGCGGAGGAACACCGAUGGCGAAGGCAAUCCCCUGGACCUGUACUGACGCUCAUGCACGAAAGCGUGGGGAGCAAACAGG